UCCAGGCUGAGCUGAUCCCAGUGGGGUUGAGAGAGCAAGGCAGGGAGAGCCAUAGGAAACAGCUCCAGGGAGACAGCUAGGUUGGGUGUGGCAGGAAACAGGAAGCCAGGUCAAGAAGGGGGCGGGGCUGGAAGUAGGCUUUAAGCCCUGUCAGCUCUGCACUCGGACAUUUAAAGACAAGGCAGCUGAUGAUGAGGGGCUGCUUCUGAGUAUGGGAGCCUGGAGUUCUCCAGGAGAGGGAACUGGCUGAAUGUAGCAAGCCAGGAGGCGGAGGAGGAGGACUCAGGUGACAAGCAACAAGCUAACCUCCUCCCCUGGCUGUUACUGAGGCUGACCUUUUGUGGGGUGCUGCAGUCAUUCUGGAGUUCAAGAAGGGCUAGGAGCCACCUCAUCCCAUGGGAGUCUGACAGAUGUGAUCCUUUUAGGGUUUCUAGCUCAUUCAAGAAUUAUUCUCUCCAACAAAAAGUCUCCUAUGACAGACAACAACUCUAAAGCUAAAGAUUUUAUCUUUUUGUGUUGCUGGAAUCAUUAGCAGAAAAUGAAACCCAGUCAAAUGUGGUAAGAACAUCCUGUGGGGAGAAGAGACAUGUGGAUAUAGACACUGGCUUCAUCUCAGAGCCAUAGGCUUCCUUACAUGGUGGUCCACAGAAGCAUUUGUUGGCAGUGUAGUGGUCGAUAUAAAGGAAAAGGCUGGGAACCACUGGUCUAGACCAUAAAUGGCCAACCGGUUGCCCACAGGUACAUACAUGCUCUUUAGGAUCAACAUGCAGCAGAGCACAACUCUCAAGGCAGUAAGGAUCUGUGGUGCACUUGACCAGGAGUAGGAAGGAGCAUACGCCUCAUUAUGGUGUCGAACCAGGCCUCAACUUCUGAUUAGCUCUCCAGUAUUAAGCUGCUCUCUGGCUCAGUAGAGAGCACUUGGAGGAAUUAGUAAAUGAAAAUGGUACCAUUUUCCCUGAGCAAAUAGGUUUUGGAAGAGGGCCAAACAAUCUCAUAACAAGACAGAAAUGAAAGCUUUUUGGAAGAGUCAGAGCCAGCCAUUAAUCUGGUAUUGUUGGGGAAGCCCUCGGUUCCUGAAAGCUGCAAGCAUAACAUGAACAAUACAAGAUGUUCUUCCUUUCUUUCCCUUGUGACCCUCCUUCGGCAUGAACCCCAACACCAACUGAGAUCAUCAGGAGAAGUCUGGUUGCAGUUGCCACUGACUUGUUUUGUGGAAACAUGGAACUAAGAUUUCUCUGUGGCCAGCCUGGGACUUUGGAAUGUGCUUAUGUCAUGACACUGGUCUUUCCAUGGCCGUUUUUGAGGGGGUUGGGUUUUUGAGGGGAGGGGGUUGGGUUCACCUGAGUCCUCCUCCUCCAGGCUCCUCGUGGUCACUGUGGCAGUCUAUCUCCAGAGGCCUCCACCACUCGCCCUCCAGCUGCUCCUCAUCACUGGACGAGCCUGUCUUAAAUCCCAUGCCCCUGCUAAUUGGACCUCCACCCUGCUAUAUCAGGCUGCUCUCACCCUUAUCCCCCUCAGCUGUGCCUCUGUCUGCUACUGCCGCCUCCUCCCUCCCUCACCCCUUCCCUUCCCCCAGCCCCUCUAGCCCAUCUCCUUGGUCCCACAGCGUCUCAGCUGGCUGCUUGUCAGGCUGUUCUGCCUGACUGAUUGCCCUGCCUGGGGCCUCUCUGGUCCCGGCUGCCAAGGGAACAUCGGAGCCCCCACAGGACAGCUUCCUAUAAGAACCUCCUCAUCUCUGGCUGCCUUCAAGAAAGUCCUUAAGAGAGUUAUGUUUCCUCAGGCCUUUUUGUAGCCAUUUUUAAAAACUGUUUUAAUUAUGUUUAAUUAUUUUAAUUGUUGGCUGUUCUAAUAGUCUGGUUUUUAAAAAAAAAUGUAAACCACUUGGAGAUGCUUCAUUUUAGGCAGCUUACAAUUCAAAUUAAAUAAAUAAAUACAAUCCAUACUUGCUGUGCACAUUGGUGAUCAUUUAUUUGUAUUGUCACAAACAUCGAUAAUCCAGUUUCACACAUUUUGAUCAGACAAAAAAGGAAUUAGGUGGGCAUGUGUUAAAGAAUACAUUGAGAAGUGUGCCUCACCAUACUUCUGUGGGUUUCUUUACCAUAAAUAGCAACUUCAGGAGGACAAUCCAGAUUGGGGCUGUGGUCUAGGAGGUGAGAGGCUUUGGCAUUGGCACAAUUCUAUCCAGACCACCCCACAGCUAUUUCCCUUAGUGCCAAUGGGAACUUCCCUCCUGGGGCCAAAAAAACCCCUUUCUCCCUGCAGCAGAGUUCCAGUCUGGGACAAGUGGAGCCUCAUAUGAUUGCAUGUUUCUCCAUACAAAGGAAAGAAAAUCUCUCAUUGAAAACAAGCCUAACCUUUUCCCUGACA